rnacentral:rRNA from 1 species
UACGGGGGGAGCAAGCGUUGUUCGGAUUUACUGGGCGUAAAGGGCGCGUAGGCGGUCAGCACAAGUCAGUUGUGAAAUCUCCGAGCUUAACUCGGAACGGUCAACUGAUACUGCUCGGCUAGAGUGCGGAAGGGGCAACUGGAAUUCUUGGUGUAGCGGUGAAAUGCGUAGAUAUCAAGAGGAACACCCGUGGCGAAGGCGGCUCUCUGGUACGUGACUGACGCUGAGACGCGAAAGCGUGGGGAGCGAACAGG